UAAAUGACCGCUCUGAUUUCACAAAAAGAGGAGGUUCGCUCCGUAUCCAUCCAUGACCUCUGCUGGCAAAGACCCCACUGUCACAGAUCCAGGAGACUCGGCCCACGAGGAACAUUCCUUCCUGCUCCACCAGCUUCUCUGUGGCCCUCGAUCGAGGAGGCCUCAGCCCUGCCCACAGGGCAGGACGGAGCACACCAGCAACUAGCUGCCAAACAGAGAUGGAAGCAUAGCCCCUGGGGGGCUGUGUUCACCAGUCUUUUGACCAUGUCAGGUUCCAUCAGCGCUGACUGAGCCCACUGGGAGAAAGCUCGGCUUCCUGGGUCUUUGCACAGCUGGUGACAUCCCUUGUAAUUUAGGUCCUGGUUCAAAUGCAACAAACUUCCUCAGAGAAGCCGUUCCUGGUCCCAUCAACCUGGCCACAGUCAUUUAUUCUUUAUCCCAUUAGUCUGUUUUAUUUCUUUCACAGCAUCUCUCACAAGCUGAAAUCAUUUUGUCUUGUUUAUGGUAUUUGGUUUUAGAGCACAGGGACUUUGCCUCUCUGGUUCCCUGCCACAUCCCUAACAUCUGCGUCCCUAGCAUUUAAAAGUAUAUCUGGCAUAUUUACCCAAAUGACUUGAAAUUUAUAUCCACACAAGAGCCGGUCUGCAAAUGUUUAUGCCAGGUUGUUUCAUAAUUGCCAAAAACUGGAGGCAAGCAAGAUGUCCUUCCAGCUAUGGAAUUGUCGUGCCUUUGAGUACACAAUGGAAUAUUAUUCAGCUAUAAAAAGAAAUGAGCUAUCAAGUCAUGAAAAGAGGUAGAUGAAUCUUAAAGGCAGAUUGCUAAAUGGAAGAAGACAGCCUGAAAAGGCUACAUACUACAUGGUUCCAAUUAUAUGACAUUCUAGAAAAGGCAAAACUGUGGCAAUGGCAAAAAGAUUCGUGGUCACCAGGAGCUCAGGGAGAAGUGGGGGAGGCUGAAUGGGUAAAGCACAGGGGAUUUUUUAGGGUGAUGAAGCUAUUCUAUAUGGCACUGUAAGAGUGGAUACAUGACACCAUGUAUUUGUCAAAACAUAUAGAACUCUAGGAGACAAAGAAUAAAUCUCAAGUAUGCAAAUUUUUUAAAAAUAAUUUAAGAGACUGGGGAAUCCCAAAAUGGAAUGCAGAAUGUGACAAAACAAUGUAACUAUAUUAAAAAUGUAUGAAACAAGCCCACUGAAGGCACUAUGGGGAAAAGGUGCUGACCUAAGUAACUGGAAACCAGUAGAGUCUAAGUCUAAAUGCAAGGUGAACUGCACAUAAGCACUGCACUCUAGCUGAUAACGCUGUUUUCCGAGGGGUGUGUGUUAAUGUUUCUGACACUGCUAUACAUGUAUGCCACAAUCAAACAACUAAGUGAAUGGAUGGCAGGUGGUGGGAACCCCACGUGUCUCACUGAUGGAGUGAGAAUUUACAGAUGGGCAAGAGAAAGAGGCUAGGCUAAUCCAUGUGGUAGUAGAUUAGAGUUGAAGACAUCAUCUUGAACUCAUGUUUGCUUAAUCCAGAUACUGAUGGUCACUUAUAGAAAUAUUUACAGACACAUGUACAUUCAAAGGUUAGUAUACACGCAUACAUUUCCUUACUCUGACAGCUGAGAGACCCUGGAAAUAAUGACACCCCAGUAGCCACAAGCACACUGAGUAUCCAUGUCUUGGUUUCUAAUACCACUUUCCAAUAAAAGGAACUAGAUCUCCUUGGAGAAAUGGCUGAUUCUACGCCUGGGACAAGAAAUAUACAAGAUGAACUUGGAACACCUUGUAGUACCAGAAAGAGAAGAAGUAUUAAACACAUAUACACACACACAAUGAUGGGAGUUUGUCAAACAUAAUAAAGGAGCCAAUUGAAACAGCUCCUAAAGUUGGAACAAUUUAAGCAACAAAAUAAAUACAGAAGCACUGACUUUUAACCCAAAGUACAUAAUAAAUACCCCCAAGUUCAUAAUGAUUUAAAUAAAUUAUUGACUAGAUAAACAAAUGGAGGAGAGGAGACGAAUGUCCCAGGCAGAAGAAUUCCAUACAAAUUAUGUAGAAACAGAAGGGGUUAGAGCAUAAUUCCCCUUUCCUUAAGAACGGAGAGCUCAUAGUGAUUUCUUUCCAAAGAAUACAGUACGGAAAGUGGGAGAGGGAGUAACUUUACAGUGAAGAAACCUGACAGACACUACGCCAGCCGGGUGGUCAAGGUUAGCACCAUCAGUGAUAAGUCAUGUUGAUAGGAAGCCCCUUGACAGGAUGUGAUGAGAACGGUCCUUUACCUCUAUGGCCUUCCUCCCCCAAACCCAUAAUUCACGUCUAAUGAUAAGAAAAACAUCAGUGAAAUCCCAUUUGAGCAGCGUUCUGCAAAAGACCUAAACAGUACUUCACACAACUGUCAAGGUUAUUAAAAAACAAGGAAAAUCUGAGAAACUGUCAUAGCCUAGAGAAGUCUAAGGAGACAUGACAACUAAAAUGUAAUGUGGUAUCUUGGAUGGACUCCUGGAACAGAAGAAGGACACUAGGUAAAAACUAAGGAAUUUGAAUAAAGUGUGGAUUUUAGUUAAAAUAAUGUAUGGAUGCUGGUUCAUUAAUUGUAACAAACAUACCACACUAAAUUAAGAUGUUCCUAAUAAGUAAAACUGGUUGCAAAGUACAUGGAGUACUAUCUUUGUAAUUUUUCUGCAAAUCUAAAACCAUCUAAAAAAAUAAAGUUUUUUUUUAAGUGGGCCAAGUCGAAGGUGGUUGCAAGGAAUGAUGGAUGGAUAUUGGAGAAAGGAACAGAUGGACCACACAGUGGCUGAUGGGAUGAUGGGCGGAGGGCGGGGGGCGCUGAUGGAUGGAUGACGGAUGGAGCGGCUCUACAAGGCAGGGCGGUCAAACGCUGCUGACAGCACAAAAGACGAGAACUGGGAUGGGAACCAGGGACUCAGAAACCCGAGGGCAUGAGCCCUCUUGGCAGAAAGGGGAGGCAGUGACACAGCAGUGGGUUGGGGGGAGCAGAAAGUGACAAAAUGUGGACAAAAAGUAUUGACAAGCUCCCAGUUAGAUCUGGGCAAAGGGAGGAAGAGACAGGGAGGGAGCGUCUUGUGUGUAUGGUGUCCAGUACUUUAUAACAUUUACAUACUUGAAAUGCACAGACCUUAAGAGUACAGACAGCUCCAUGACUCUGGACAUGAAGGAAAGGCUGAAGAUGAAGAAAGCCCCUCCUCAAGCAGGAGGAUGGGGAUGGGCUCCUGAAAGAAGAUAAAAGGAUAAAAUACCCACUCUGUAUCCUAUGGCUUAUUUAAAGUGAGUUUCCAACUUUUUACCUGAAAAUUCCAUCGAAUAGACGGAGAGCAGAAAGACUCAGAACUAACCUGGCCAUCAGAAUGGCACAGAUUUCCAAACUGCCAGUGCUGACUAAGAAAAACCCUGUGAGAAUUUAUUGGCCCAAACUUUUAAGCAGAGGCAAGAAUCCUGGCUUUCACUCCUCCUUCCAUCAAGCUUGCAUGAGCCUGUCGCUCUGAAUCUUAUCUACUAAUGGGAAAGCACUCAUCCCUUCCUCGCACAGCAAGCAUUUCCACUCCCAAAGAAAUGAACAAUUACUGUGCAGACAAAAUAGUAUUCAUGUACAUAGUGAAAAAUUAAAAUUACAGAGAAGAAUGGCAAUAACGUGUGAUUACUUCCUUUGAAGACUUCAAUC